GAAGGGUAAAAUGUGUUUUCAAAAAAAUAUUUUCAAAUGAAUUUAAGGGUUUUAAUUGAGUUUUGAAGAGAAAAGUCCAAGGAGGCGUUUGCCAGGUUCGGCCGCCGAAAGUGAAGUUCGGCCGCCGAACAUGGAAAGGCUUCGGGAGUGCUUUUGGCCUCCGAAAGUCUUGUUUGAACGAGCCAAGGUUCGGCCGCCGAAAGUCAAGUUCGGCCGCCGAACUUGCAUGAGUUUAGGGGGCACGUUAGGCCGCCGAAGGAGGUUUGGCUGGCCACCUAUAAAGGGCCCUCAGACCGAAAAUGGGAGAGUUUUCUCCCCAUUCUCGAGCUCAGGUGAGUUUAUGCCUUCCUUUGGUCAUUUUCGUGUUUUCUCUACCCAUCUCUCAAGUUUUUCAUGAUUUCUACCCUUGUGUUUGAAGAUUUAAAGCUUAAAGGGAGUUUUGGGAGCUUGGAGCUUUUGGAGCUUGGAUUCUCCACACCUCCGAGUUAGGGAUUACACCACCCUCGAUCUUCAAGAGGUAAGUGUAGAUCCUUGCUUCCCUAGUGUUUUUAUGAAGUUUUAUGAAGGUUUUGAUGGUUGAGUAUGGGUAGAAAUGCAUGUUAGGAUUUAUGUGGGUUUUAUGCCCAAUGUAUGUUAUGUGAUGCUCAUGUAUGUUUAUAUGAUGCUAUGUUGGAGGUUUAAGCUUGAGGAAGAGUGUAUGCAUGAUUGGGAGAGAGUAAGUGAGGUUAUGGGUUGUUUUGAUAGUUUUGGCCUAUGUGGGUCAAAAGCUAUCUAUGUAUGUUUUGAUGUUGUUUUUUUUAGUUUAAUCAAGCUAUUAAGCUCCUUUGUGCAUGGUUAGAGGUUUGUGCAUGUUUUGAUAAGGUUGGGUGUUGUUUUGGGGUGUGUGGAAGGUUUGGGAGGCUUGAAUGCAUGAGAAGCUGAGUUCUGCCCUUCUGGGAAGAACUCAGGUUCGGCCGCCGAAGGUGGUUUCGGCCGCCGAACCUGCCCUUGGAUGCAUGGAUUGGCCGCCUAACCUUGCCCCCGAAAGUUGAGUUUGGCUUGAAAGCAGACUUUCGGCCGUCGAAGGUAAUGUUCGGCCGCCGAACAUGCCUGACUUUCGUCUCUGGAGUGGGACUUUCGGCCGCCGAAGGUGCCGCCGAAGGUGCCCGAGUUUCGUCUCUGGAGAGAGGGUUCGGCCGCCGAAGGUGCCGCCGAAAGUGCCCUGUCCAGCCUUUUCAAGGUUGGUUUCUAUGCAUGUUUAUGUGAUGUUCUAGGGGGUUUUUGGGCAGUUGUUUAUGAGUUGUUAGAGUGUGUUUAGUACCUCAUGUGAGUCCAUCUGUGUAGGAUCGGACCCGAGACAUCGAGGUGUCUAGCUUCAGUGCUAGUUGGCCCAGUAGAGUUAGCUGAGCAGUGGCUUCAGGUGAGUAGAACUAAACUUAAUCUUUUAUGUACGAAAUCUAAUGCCUAAAGCAUGUUCAUGCAUCAUGUUUAUAUGUAAUAGGAUGAUUGCACUAGUUUCACGAAUAUGGCGCAUUGCAUUAUUUGAUGUUGAUUCAGGAGGUUUGGACCAAGGCGACUUCAAUAGCCCAUUUCUGUCAUUGAGUCUUGGGUAAGUCCUUUGAGAGCCGGACAAGUACAUAUAGGAAAGUCCUGGUGAGCUCUCUGUGGAUUUGGUACCCUGUCAUGUAUGUGAAAGUCCUGUGUGAGCUUCCUUGGGGGAGCCGGGCACCGACAGAGGGAAUUUUGAGGUCAUGUCCGAUCCUUGAGAGUAAAGGAUGCUAGCAAAGAAAGAAACUCUCAAAAACAGUCCGUGGGGAAUAUUUAUUUGCAUGAACCCCGAGACGGACAAGAUACAGUUAUGUGAUUUCUCUGUGUUAUGACGCAUUUCAUGAGAGCAUGUAAUUAAUGAACUGUUUUCUAUGUUUCUACUCACUGGGCUUUUUAGCUCACCCCUCUCCCCUAACCCC
rnacentral:lncRNA from 1 species